AUGUCAUGUGUGGCCCGCCCACCAAGUAGGACGUUUCUAGAAUCCCAUGUCGCCAUAUAUCAGGGCUGUCUGACAGUGAGCUGCAAAGGCUGCCAUAUCUCUAUCAGAUUGUAUCAUGAGCAAUCAUCUUGUAAAAUCAUCCUUGUUGACAGAAGUCAUUUUACCCUGACCCCUCGACGCCUCUUGCCCUC